AUUGAACGCUGGCGGCAUGCCUAACACAUGCAAGUCGAGCGGAGCGGCGGACGGGUGAGUAAUGCCUAGGAAUCUGCCUGGUAGUGGGGGAUAACGUCCGGAAACGGGCGCUAAUACCGCAUACUAUCAGAUGAGCCUAGGUCGGAUUAGCUCGUUGGUGGGGUAAAGGCCUACCAAGGCGACGAUCCGUAACUGGCCUGAGAGGAUGAUCAGUCACACGCGAACUUAGACACGGUCCAGACUCCUACGGGAGGCAGCAGUGGGGAAUCUUGGACAAGGUGCGAAAGCCUGACCCAGCCAGGCCGCGUGUGUGAAGAAGGUCUUCGGAUUGUAAAGCACUUUAAGUUGAGAGGCGGUAUCAACAGAAUAAGCAACGGCUAACUUCGUGCCAGCCGCCGCGGUAAUUC
rnacentral:rRNA from 1 species